rnacentral:rRNA from 1 species
CCUACGGGAGGCAGCAGUGAGGAAUAUUGGUCAAUGGACGAGAGUCUGAACCAGCCAAGUAGCGUGAAGGAUGACUGCCCUAUGGGUUGUAAACUUCUUUUAUAUGGGAAUAAACUGUUCCACGUGUGGGAUUUUGUAUGUACCAUAUGAAUAAGGAUCGGCUAACUCCGUGCCAGCAGCCGCGGUAAUACGGAGGAUCCGAGCGUUAUCCGGAUUUAUUGGGUUUAAAGGGAGCGUAGGUGGAUUGUUAAGUCAGUUGUGAAAGUUUGCGGCUCAACCGUAAAAUUGCAGUUGAAACUGGCAGUCUUGAGUACAGUAGAGGUGGGCGGAAUUCGUGGUGUAGCGGUGAAAUGCUUAGAUAUCGCGAAGAACUCCGAUUGCGAAGGCAGUUCACUGGACUGCAACUGACACUGAGGCUCGAAAGUGUGGGUAUCAAACAGGAUUAGAUACCCGGGUAGUC